rnacentral:rRNA from 1 species
CCUACGGGUGGCAGCAGUGGGGAAUAUUGGACAAUGGGGGGAACCCUGAUCCAGCCAUGCCGCGUGUGUGAAGAAGGCCCUCGGGUUGUAAAGCACUUUCAGUGAGGAAGAACGCCUGGUGGUUAAUACCCAUCAGGAAAGACAUCACUCACAGAAGAAGCACCGGCUAACUCCGUGCCAGCAGCCGCGGUAAUACGGAGGGUGCGAGCGUUAAUCGGAAUUACUGGGCGUAAAGCGCGCGUAGGUGGCUUGAUAAGCCGGUUGUGAAAGCCCAGGGCUCAACCUGGGAACGGCAUCCGGAACUGUCAAGCUAGAGUGCAGGAGAGGAAGGUAGAAUUCCCGGUGUAGCGGUGAAAUGCGCAGAGAUCAGGAGGAAUACCAGUGGCGAAGGCGGCCUUCUGGACUGAAACUGACGCUGAGGUGCGAAAGCGUGGGUAGCAAACAGGAUUAGAUACCCGAGUAGUC